CCAUACUGGAUUUAACAAACUGCACUG
rnacentral:piRNA from 1 species